rnacentral:rRNA from 1 species
UACGUAGGGUGCGAGCGUUAAUCGGAAUUACUGGGCGUAAAGCGUGCGCAGGCGGUUAUGUAAGACAGGUGUGAAAUCCCCGGGCUUAACCUGGGAACUGCAUUUGUGACUGCAUAGCUAGAGUACGGUAGAGGGGGAUGGAAUUCCGCGUGUAGCAGUGAAAUGCGUAGAUAUGCGGAGGAACACCGAUGGCGAAGGCAAUCCCCUGGACCUGUACUGACGCUCAU